GGUACAAAGGGCGGCGAGUCAGCGAUGACGAGCAAAUCCCGUAAAGCCGGUCUCAGUCCGGAUUGGAGUCUGCAACUCGGCUCCAUGAAGUUGGAAUCGCUAGUAAUCGUGGAUCAGAAUGCCACGGUGAAUACGUUCCCGGGCCUU
rnacentral:rRNA from 1 species